rnacentral:misc_RNA from 1 species
CAUUAGGAACAUAGUGACCUCUGGUAGGAGGAGACAUCAGUAUGUCUCACCCAUCACACCCCCCUGGACUUUUGCAUAUUUAUAAAAGUGUCCAGCAAACUUCUCAUUCUUAUCAAUCGUGCCCUUAUAUCAUUUCAUAGGCCUACGGCUUGACUGGGUUUGGCCAAUCCUCACGGGGUAACGGGCUGUCCGCCUUACACUCUCCCCCACUUAAACAAUCGAUGUCCUCAUCGAUUUGCCCCGAACACCUCUUAUUGAACAAUGCUCUCCUGAACAUCUUGUGCCUCUCCAAAUUAGUCACCAUGUUGAACAAAGCUCUCCCAAAUGUGCCUCUUCCUGUCAUUCAUCAUGUUGAACAAAGCUCUCCCCCAAAUAUCUUGUGCCUUUUUCAAAUCUUUCAUCAUAUCUGGUUCUCACAUAUUGAUCUUCCGAAUUCCUUAUGCAUUUUCAUACCAACUUGUGCCCAUCUUCAUACACAUUCUUCAUAUCCUUCUUAUGUUCUGGUUGUUGCCUAGCUGCCCCACUCAAUCAAUGAUGGAAUGGUUGCCCUGCUUGAUUACUAAUGAGAUUUCCAUUUUCUUCCUUGUGACAUUCUG